CCAAAGGCUCUUUUCAGAGCCGUCCACAUUUUCAAAUUAGGAAGCU
rfam:Canis lupus familiaris chromosome 35, whole genome shotgun sequence.